GACGAACGCUGGCGGCGUGCUUAACACAUGCAAGUCGAACGAUGAAGCUAGAGCUUGCUCUGGUGAAUUAGUGGCGAACGGGUGAGUAACACGUGAGUAACCUGCCCCGAACUCUGGGAUAACUGCUGGAAACGGUAGCUAAUACUGGAUACGACCUACGAAGGCAUCUUCUGUAGGUGGAAAGAAUUUCGGUUCGGGAUGGACUCGCGGCCUAUCAGCUUGUUGGUGAGGUAAUGGCUCACCAAGGCGACGACGGGUAGCCGGCCUGAGAGGGGAACCGGCCACACUGGGACUGAGACACGGCCCAGACUCCUACGGGAGGCAGCAGUGGGGAAUAUUGCACAAUGGGCGCAAGCCUGAUGCAGCAACGCCGCGUGAGGGAUGACGGCCUUCGGGUUGUAAACCUCUUUUAGUAGGGAAGAAGCGAAAGUGACGGUACCUGCAGAAAAAGCACCGGCUAACUACGUGCCAGCAGCCGCGGUAA
rnacentral:rRNA from 1 species